rnacentral:rRNA from 1 species
AACGAACGCUGGCGGCAGGCUUAACACAUGCAAGUCGAGCGCCCCGCAAGGGGAGCGGCAGACGGGUGAGUAACGCGUGGGGAUCUGCCUAGUGGUACGGAACAACUCAGGGAAACUUGAGCUAAUACCGUAUAAGUCCUUCGGGAGAAAGAUUUAUCGCCAUUAGAUGAACCCGCGUCUGAUUAGCUAGUUGGUGAGGUAACGGCUCACCAAGGCGACGAUCAGUAGCUGGUCUGAGAGGAUGAUCAGCCACACUGGGACUGAGACACGGCCCAGACUCCUACGGGAGGCAGCAGUGGGGAAUAUUGGACAAUGGGCGCAAGCCUGAUCCAGCCAUGCCGCGUGAGUGAUGAAGGCCUUAGGGUUGUAAAGCUCUUUCGUCAGGGAAGAUAAUGACGGUACCUGAAGAAGAAGCCCCGGCUAACUUCGUGCCAGCCGCCGCAGUAACAC